GACAUGGGUGGCAAACGUUAUCCGGAAUUAUUGGGCGUAAAGGGUGCGUAGGUGGCCUGGAAGGUCAGCUGUGAAAACUCGAGGCUCAACCUCGAGACGUCGGUUGAAACCACCUGGCUAGAGUCCGGAAGAGGAGAGUGGAAUUCCCGGUGUAGCGGUGAAAUGCGCAGAUAUCGGGAAGAACACCCGUGACGAAGGCGGCUCUCUGGGACGGUACUGACGCUGAGACGCGAAAGCGUGGGGAGCGAACAGG
rnacentral:rRNA from 1 species